rnacentral:rRNA from 1 species
UACGGGGGGAGCAAGCGUUGUUCGGAUUUACUGGGCGUAAAGGGCGCGUAGGCAGUCAGCACAAGUCAGUUGUGAAAUCUCCGGGCUUAACUCGGAAAGGUCAACUGAUACUGUGCGACUAGAGUGCAGAAGGGGCAACUGGAAUUCUCGGUGUAGCGGUGAAAUGCGUAGAUAUCGAGAGGAACACCUGCGGCGAAGGCGGGUUGCUGGGCUGACACUGACGCUGAGGCGCGAAAGCCAGGGGAGCAAACGGG